AUACUUGCUGUGUUCUGCUCAUUUCUCAGCUUUGCAAUGGCGUCGGGUGACUCUGCACUGCUGUGUCCAGACACACGCGUCCCCAUGGCAGCUAUUCCCUGAAGGCCAUUAACGUCUCUCAAGCAGGCGAUGUUCAAGUAUUGUGAACAGCCCUUCCUUAACAGGACCCGUGUAUGCCAAAAAUAUAACAGGAUGUGAGUGCAAAGCCACUGCACCUGCACAGGUCAAUCCAGGCUAGGGGUCUGGAUCCAAUCAUUGUACUUGUUUCUGAGCGCACAAUUGCCAGAUACAGUGCAUUGCCAACAAAUUUGAACUAGCCAUUUGAACAAGCGAUCUAUGUUCAAUUGAUCAGGAGGUACCAGAUGUACAGCAGGCCGCUACGUGUAGCAGAUCUGGUCCUCAAUAAUUUCGAUGAUCUACUUGUGACUCAGUUAAGACAAUCUACGCAUGUAUAAAUGAAACCGAGUUGACUUCUACAGUUUAUCAUAAGGGUAUCCAGGU
rnacentral:lncRNA from 1 species